UGCCAGUCGAUUGUGGAAUACUGUACACACAUUGCUCGUUUCGGUGGAACAGCUGGGCUGCAUGUGACAGCUUUAUGCUGAACGAUUGUUGGAGACUCACGAGACUCUUUAAAUCACUUGAAAUGAUCGAGUGGUUUGAGCUGAAGAGAGAAUAUUUUGUUAAUUAUGGAUUGACAAAAUUGGCAGCAGAUGUUAUGCUCAAUACGAGCGUUGCGUUCCCACUUAAAGAGGAGAUUGAGAAAAGGAUGGAUGGUAUUGGAUGGAAAUUAAUCGAGCCUCGAUGCUUCGAUUACGUGGAGGUACGAUGGAUUCAAGGGAAAAGUUCAGACAGCCGGAAACAGCGUCGAUUUGCUCGUGGCUUUUGUGAAUCGAUCUUCCCUAAUUCCCAACUCCCUCUUCACUCUAUCCCUCUGCCGUUCUUCACUGUACAUUCCUUGGAUCCACUGUUUAUCCCGUUACGACACCUUAGUUAAUUACUAAUAGGGGCGUGAAGAAACGCUAAUGUAACAUUUUGGUGUUCAUUUAUUUCUAUUCCAAAUGUUGAUUAGAAUCAAUUUUUCAAGAUUGCCAGUUUUCGCUCAGACAAAACUAUUAUUAUUCUGAUGUGGGUGAAGAGUCUUCCAUGAGAAAUAAUGAGAAAUAUAAUUAGAAGAGAAAAAUUAUGUGAAAUUCCGGUUCCAUCUUUAGUUAAUUGAAUAGCGGAAAAUAAUGCCCUGAUAAUGAUUGCAAUUGGCCUAGAUGAACAUCGGAGGAUGAAAUUAAAUGUACACAGAAUGGAUGUAUACGUAAUGUCAAUAUACCUCUUUCCGUGUUCCCGUUUGUAUUCGCCGCUGUACUUGGAUCUACUGCCUACGAGCUCUAUUAUCUCGGGUAUGCUACUAGCAAAAAUUGCCUGCAAAUAGAAAUUAUGGAUACUACUUUGACGGUUCUCUACUUCAUAAUAGGAAGUACCAGCUCUUUGGACAGUGUAUUAUCCAGCACCAGAGCUACCAAAUUUCCCUCAAUUUCACGUUGUACUUCCUUUUUAUUUCUUUCAUGAACAUUCCAUACAGCUGCUGAUGAAGUUAUGAGAUAAGUGGAACCUUGUGAGAAUAAUGGAAGAGAAGAGACACGAUGAGUCUUUUGCGAAGUGAGUUGAAUUCGAGAUGAACUUACAUUAGAAAUUAAUAGCAUGGAUGUCUCAAUGGGAAACCUGUGAGGUAUGCCACAGCAUGUCUACUAAGGUUUCUGCAAUUAACUCUACAGAAAGACAAGUUGGAACUGUUGAAACAUUCUCGAGAAUAGUAACCUGUUGUAUAUUAGAACCUGAAGAUUGUGGAAUUUCAAAAAUGUUAUUCUGUAUCAGACUAUAAAAUGAAAUUGCGUUAAGUGUUUUGUGAAAAUAGCAGGUCAGGUAUCGAUUUUUUAAAAUACUCGAAUCGUUAAAUCUAUUUUUCUGAAUUUUUUUAUUUGAAGUGUAUCAUUGAGGAAUAGUUAUAUGGGAAGUUGGCUUUUUUGAAGAUGUUUGUCACCGUUCGACACCUAUUCUGAUUAACAACAGUUGAUUAUACAACAGAUGGACUUGAGAGAGAGAGAGAGAGAGAGAGAAAGACAACUCUUCCAUAAAAAUCUAAAAAAAUCGAUAAAAAAUAGAAACUUCGCAAAUGACUACAUAAGUGACUCCUAUUCUGAAGAACUAUUUACAGGAUCAUGUAUGCCCCCACAACGCACUCUCUAUGUAUCGAACAGAGUAACAGCGAUAUUGUACAAGUUGAGAAGACGAUAGACAGACAGAAAGAGUAUAAAUACAGAAUAUUCUCAGACAGUGUUUGUUAAGCGAUAAAGCAGCGGCUGAAUGUACAGCGAGCAGCAAAUUUACAGUUUAUUCAUGAUUAAAGUGGUUCGUAAAAUUUCAAAUUAUUCAACAUAAAUCAAAUUUCCCGAUUACAACGGGCUAAUAAAAAUUCACAUCCUCCAAAUUAUUUGAUGACUGUGAUUAACGUUUGCGGUUGACUAAGUUGGAUCAGGGGAUUAGAAAGGUCGGCAAAGGUUAUUGAGAUUAGGGAAAGUUGACGUUGAUCAACGAAGCGUCAAGUUUAUCAGCUGAAACGACGUCUGUUACUCACUAAUGAAUCCAUUCAUUUAAAUUGUCUCUCGCACUAUUGAUUAAUGAGAUAUAUUUUUGAGAUUUAUUCGAGAAUUUCACAAGCUGACUUGUCGUCAUACUUGGAAUUUAUACCCAUUAUCCAAGUGACCCGGGAGCGAGUAUUAAUUAAUGAGCAUUGGUGCCAUUAUUAUUUUUUCCACCUUCUUUUUAUUGCUUUAGAUUUUAGUCGACCCACCGGAUUACAAAAAUUCAUCAGCAAUUUAUCGAAGAUUUAAAAUACUAAAUAUUACUCGGUGAAUUUUUCUUUCGAUACUAAGACUAUUAACUCUCUACUCGUGCAUUUUCUGUUCAAUUGUCAUGAUAAAAGUCUAGACUACUUGGAAUUUUUCAGUGAUGAAGUAUAACAAAUGAUAAAUAUAGCUAGGGAGCGAAUUUAAUUGAGGAUGCACGCAUUCUCUUCAUUGAUUAUUGCAUCGAGACGAAAGGAGACGUCGAAUCAAAGACAAAGGACACGCUUCACGAUUGUUUAUUCAUAAUGUAUCUUUGGGUGAAUUAUAAGAUUGGCUUUUUUUUAAUCUAGCGGUGGUGAUCGAUGAUUUGAAGUUUCGUAAGUAAAAAAUGCCAAGACGCAGCGGCGAUAGGUGUUCGAGAGACAGAGUAUUGUAGUACGAACAAUAAAGCCAAAGA